rnacentral:rRNA from 1 species
UACGUAGGGUGCGAGCGUUAAUCGGAAUUACUGGGCGUAAAGCGUGCGCAGGCGGCUUUGCAAGACAGAUGUGAAAUCCCCGGGCUCAACCUGGGAACUGCAUCCAAAACUGCUGAGCUAGAGUACGGUAGAGGGUGGUGGAAUUUCCUGUGUAGCGGUGAAAUGCGUAGAUAUAGGAAGGAACACCAGUGGCGAAGGCAAUCCCCUGGGCCUGUACUGACGCUCAUGCACGAAAGCGUGGGGAGCAAACAGG